UACGGAGGGGGCGAGCGUUGUUCGGAAUCACUGGGUGUAAAGGGUGCGUAGGCGGUGCGUUAAGUCUGAUGUGAAAGCCCGGGGCUCAACUCCGGAAUUGCCUUUAAAACUGCAUCGCUAGAAUUGUGGAGAGGUAAGUGGAAUUCCGAGUGUAGAGGUGAAAUUCGUAGAUAUUCGGAAGAACACCAGUGGCGAAGGCGACUUACUGGACACAUAUUGACGCUGAGGUGCGAAAGCGUGGGGAGCAAACAGG
rnacentral:rRNA from 1 species